AUUGAACGCUGGCGGCAGGCCUAACACAUGCAAGUCGAACGAGUGGCGGACGGGUGAGUAAUGUCUGGGAAACUGCCCGAUGGAGGGUGAUAACUACUGGAAACGGUAGCUAAUACCGCAUACCCUCGGAUGUGCCCAGAUGGGAUUAGCUAGUAGGUGGGGUAACGGCUCACCUAGGCGACGAUCCCUAGCUGGUCUGAGAGGAUUACCUGGCAAACUGUAAAUGAGACACGGUCCAGACUCCUACGGGAGGCAGUAGUGGGGAAUAUUGCACAAUGGGCGCAAGCCUGAUGCAGCCAUGCCGCGUGUAUGAAGAAGGCCUUCGGGUUGUAAAGUACUUUCAGCGGGGAGGCGUUACACGCAGAAGAAGCACCGGCUAACUCCGUGCCAGCAGCCGCGGUAAUAC
rnacentral:rRNA from 1 species